AUUCCAGCUCCAAUAGCGUAUAUUAAAGUUGUUGCGGUUAAAAAGCUCGUAGUUGGAUUUCUGCCGAGGACGACCGGUCUGCCCACUGGGUGUGUAUCUGGUUCGGCCUGGGCAUCUUCUUGGAGAACGUAUCUGCACUUGACUGUGUGGUGCGGUAUCCAGGACCUUUACUUUGAGGAAAUUAGAGUGUUUCAAGCAGGCACACGCCUUGAAUACAUUAGCAUGGAAUAAUAAGAUAGGACCUCGGUUCUAUUUUGUUGGUUUCUAGAACUGUGGUAAUGAUUAAUAGGGAUAGUUGGGGGCAUUCGCAUUUAACUGUCAGAGGUGAAAUUCUUGGAUUUGUUAAAGACGGACUUCUGCGAAAGCAUUUGCCAAGGAUGUUUUCAUCA
rnacentral:rRNA from 1 species